AGUGAACGCUGGCGGUAGGCCUAACACAUGCAAGUCGAACGGCAGCACAGUAAGAGCUUGCUCUUACGGGUGGCGAGUGGCGGACGGGUGAGGAAUACAUCGGAAUCUACUUUUUCGUGGGGGAUAACGUAGGGAAACUUACGCUAAUACCGCAUACGACCUACGUGUGAAAGCAGGGGAUCUUCGGACCUUGCGCGAUUGAAUGAGCCGAUGUCGGAUUAGCUAGUUGGCGGGGUAAAGGCCCACCAAGGCGACGAUCCGUAGCUGGUCUGAGAGGAUGAUCAGCCACACUGGAACUGAGACACGGUCCAGACUCCUACGGGAGGCAGCAGUGGGGAAUAUUGGACAAUGGGCGCAAGCCUGAUCCAGCCAUACCGCGUGGGUGAAGAAGGCCUUCGGGUUGUAAAGCCAUUUUGUUGGGAAAGAAAAGCAGCAGGUUAAUACCCCGCUGUUCUGACGGUACCCAAAGAAUAAGCACCGGCUAACUUCGUG
rnacentral:rRNA from 1 species